GACGAACGCUGGCGGCGUGCUUAACACAUGCAAGUCGAACGGAAAGGCCCUCCUUUUGUGGUGUGCUCCAGUGGCUCACGGGUCAGUCACACGUGAGUCACCUGCCCUUUCCUUUCGGAUCACUUCAAGAAACUGGGGCUAAUACCGGAUAUUCGCUCCUGCUGCAUGGUGUGGUUUGUCUCUUUUCGGCGGUUGGUGUUGGACUCGCGGCUUAUCUGCUUGUUGUUGGGGUAGUGGCUUACCAAGGCUGUGACGGGUAGCGGGCCUGUGAGGGUGACCGGCCACAUGGGGACGGAGAUACGGCCCAGAAGCCUACGGGAGGCAGCAGUGAGGAAUAGUGCACAAUGGGCGGAAGCCUGAUGCAGCAACGCCGCGUGCGGGAUGACGGACUUCUGGUGGUAAACCGCUAGCGCCUGUGACGAAGGGGGAGUGACGGUAAUGGGUAAAGAAGCACCGGCUAACUACGUG
rnacentral:rRNA from 1 species